rnacentral:rRNA from 1 species
CGCCUCUUGAUAUAACCAUAAGAGGUCAAGCCUGCCCAGUGACAAAGUUUAACGGCCGCGGUACCCUGACCGUGCUAAGGUAGCGCAAUCACUUGUCUCUUAAAUAGAGACUAGUAUGAAUGGCAUCACGAAGACUAUACUGUCUCCCUCUCACCACCAGUGAAACUGAUCUCCCCAUGAAAAAGUGGGAAUACCCCUAUAAGACGAGAAGACCCCAUGGAGCUUUAAACUAGUAUUAUCUACUUAACCUCAAACCCUAAUAGCAUAACUAAUUAUAAUUACUAGUUUUCGGUUGGGGCGACCACGGAGUAAAGUAAAACCUCCGCGAUGUACAGACCUUACAUCUUUAUUUAAGAAAUACACCUCCAAAAAUCAAUAUAUUGACAUAAUUGAAACAACCAUGAUCAACGAACCAAGUUACCCUGGGGAUAACAGCGCAAUCCAUUUCAAGAGUCCUUAUCAACAAUUGGGUUUACGACCUCGAUGUUGGAUCAGGGUAUCCAAGUGGUGCAGCCGCUACUAAUGGUUCGUUUGUUCAACGAUUAAAACCCU